rnacentral:rRNA from 1 species
UACGUAGGGUGCAAGCAUUAAUCGGAAUUAUUGGGCGUAAAGGGCGUGUAGGCGGAUUCGUAAGUCAGAUGUGAAAGCCCCGGGCUCAACCUGGGAAUUGCAUUUGAGACUGCGUAGCUAGGGUGCGGAAGAGGGAAGCGGAAUUUCCGGUGUAGCGGUGAAAUGCGUAGAUAUCGGAAGGAACACCAGUGGCGAAAGCGGCUUCCUGGUCCAGCACCGACGUUCAGGCACGAAAGCGUGGGGAGCAAACAGG